GAGGGUAUAGCUCAGUGGUAGAGUGUGUGCUUAGCAUGCAUAAGGUCCUGGGUUCAAUCCCCAGUAUCUCCA
rnacentral:tRNA from 1 species